CUUUAUAUCAAUUCAUUUAUGGAGCCAUUACAAAACUGUCAAAGAUGCUGUCCCUGAUUAUAGGAUUAGGGAUGAGGUUGGGUGAAUGGGGGUAAUAACAAAUUGUCUAAUUUUAUUUUAGUGUGUUAAAGGAAGGGGUAUAUUUCCUAUAUUUAUAUGGGGAAAAGCCACAUUUCAAAAACCUGGAUUGACAACAAUAAUUGUCCUUUAGGAGAAUGAAUAGAACAAAUAAUGACACAGGUAUCUGCAACCUUUCCAAGAACAUUAUCCUGAGUUUUUUCUAGUUGUGCUUUAGGUUUAUAAAUUUACUAAGUCUAGAAAGUGCCUUAAAAUUAUCUGAUGAAAUUACUCCACUUAUCAAAGAGGAAAUGGAGACACAGUUUGAUUAAAAGAUUGGCCCCAAAUGAAACAGCAACGUACUGCAGUGUGGGAACUAGAAUCCAAUCUGUAGCUUUGAAUAAACUGCUAUUUUUAGCCCUUCUCACAAUUAUGAUUUUAUAUUAACAGUAUUUUCAUCAUUAUUGAAGUUCUCGCUACAUAUGUUUACCCCAAGAAAGGAAGGAAGAAAACAAGAACUUAGUCUUAAAAAUCUUAAACUACUUCAAGAUUCAUCCGUGGAAAGAUGCCUGAGUCCCACCUAAAACCAAUGAAUCGGAAUGUCAGAAUCCCUAAAGGUGGAGCCGGGCGCGCGCGCGCGCGCGAAUAUAUUAAACUCCCCAGGUGUCUCUAGUAUGAGCCACAGUUGAGAACCAUUUUCCUAGAGCCUCAGCCACAGCCCUAUCCCACUCCAGUCCACUAAGGGACAGCAUCAGACCGCUGAAACUCAGGCGGGCCUCAAAGGCGUCUCUUCCCCUCUAGUUGCACUAGGGGGCGCUCCGGCACCGGGUUUACUCCUUGGCCACCUCUCCUUCCCCAAACCGAGACAGCACAGCGGAAAAGGCAUUCAUUUGGAAGCCGACAGAGAGGGAAAAGACAGGCAAUCGCACUUUAUGUAUUUAUAUAUCCGAGGGCAGGAAGGGGCGGCUAUCCGAGUUCACCCCAAGGACCCUACUCUGCCCUCCAGUCGCGCACAUUUCCCAGGCAUUAAUCUUAAACCAAGUCCUCAGCUGAGAGUCGCUGCUAAAAGGAGAUACUGCUCCGAAGGAAGAGGAGACUGUGGGGAAUCUCCACACACAAGUCUCUGCUUGCAAUUGUGGGUCUGUGGGGAGGAGGGCGGGGAGGGCGGAGCGGUGCGCCGGGAGGCCAAGAUGCGUGCACAGCCGCGGGCACACGCCCGCACAGACAUCGAGCCAACGACGUGCAGAUCCCCUGCCUGGGUCUGGAUUAUCUGCUCUGUGUUUACUGUUUCGGAGGGCUUUACGUGAAACGAAUAAAUUUUUACUUGCUCCCA
rnacentral:lncRNA from 1 species